UACGUAGGGUGCGAGCGUUGUCCGGAAUUAUUGGGCGUAAAGAGCUCGUAGGCGGCCUGUCGCGUCGGAUGUGAAAGCCCGGGGCUUAACCCCGGGGCUGCAUUCGAUACGGGCAGGCUAGAGUGUGGUAGGGGAGAUCGGAAUUCCUGGUGUAGCGGUGAAAUGCGCAGAUAUCAGGAGGAACACCGGUGGCGAAGGCGGAUCUCUGGGCCAUUACUGACGCUGAGGAGCGAAAGCGUGGGGAGCGAACAGG
rnacentral:rRNA from 1 species